UGGGGAAUUUUGGACAAUGGGCGCAAGCCUGAUCCAGCCAUGCCGCGUGCAGGAUGAAGGCCUUCGGGUUGUAAACUGCUUUUGUACGGAACGAAAAGUCUCUUUCUAAUAAAGAGGGAUCAUGACGGUACCGUAAGAAUAAGCACCGGCUAACUACGUGCCAGCAGCCGCGGUAAUACGUAGGGUGCAAGCGUUAAUCGGAAUUACUGGGCGUAAAGCGUGCGCAGGCGGUGAUGUAAGACAGUUGUGAAAUCCCCGGGGCUCAACCUGGGAACUGCAUCUGUGACUGCAUCGCUGGAGUGCGGCAGAGGGGGAUGGAAUUCCGCGUGUAGCAGUGAAAUGCGUAGAUAUGCGGAGGAACACCGAUGGCGAAGGCAAUCCCCUGGGCCUGCACUGACGCUCAUGCACGAAAGCGUGGGGAGCAAACAGGAUUAGAUACCCUGGUAGUCCACGCCCUAAACGAUGUCAACUGGGUUGUUGGGAAUUCACUUUCUCAGUAACGAAGCUAACGCGUGAAGUUGACCGCCUGGGGGAGUACGGCCGCAAGGUUGAAACUUAAAUGAAUUGACGGGGGUCAUAGCUGUUUCCUG
rnacentral:rRNA from 1 species